UUAUUCAAAACAAGCCUCUCAUUUAUUAAUUUGGGUUUUUAUACAUUAAAAAGUAAGUGCUUGUGUACAAAUACUCAUAGGACAGUAGUAGGAAGGGAGUGAAAGGAGUACAGAUGAGACAUAGGGAUGAACGUCAUGUACAUAUAACAAAUAAGUUCAGAGAAAGAACAUAAUGAUUUGGGAAGAGACAGCUCAGGUGGGGCUAUCUGCUCCCGGAACUAGACAUUUAUGGUCUUUAGUGUUGCUUUAAGCAUCAAGCAUUUCCUGAGUCCAAGUUAGCCAAUUUUAAUAUAGGAUAUCAUUAUGACACCUAUAAGCUUGAGCCUUGGAAUUAAGAUAAAUUCUAUCACAAUCCCAUCUUUUGAUAUAAGGGUCACCCAUAUGUCCAAGGUAUUUCCAGGCCUGCUAGCCAAAGCCUGUGGGACUUUGACAUAUCUUCCUCACGGUUCCCUUGGACUGAGAGACCACCAGAAUCAGCUGAGGAGAGUUCCUUCAUUUGUUAGACGAGGUAACAUCGUAAAAACCUUCCGAAGUCGGAGCUGGAAUGUAAGUUAAGGUACGACCAACAGUAGGUUUGUUUUUACAUAGAGAGCUUAAUAGAUAUGAGAAAAAUCUAAAGGUUAGAAAAAUGUCCAUAAUAACAAAUACAGCUAAUAGCAAAAAGUACAAAAUCUUCUUAGUUAGUAAAGUCAACCAUGUUCCUAGCCCAAAUGUAAAAUCCCAAUCCCCAAAGAAGCCAGUAUCCUAUUUGAUAUCCUGUACUAAGUCAUGUAAAUCUUUUAUAUGUUUAUGGAUACUAGUGCCAUGGUCAGAUAGGUUAAAACAGCACAUGCCUUCAAUAGCUUCACAGCCUGAGUCAUGUUUCAUUAGUAAGUAGUCAGUCAAGUCGUAUGUCUGUGUUUCAUGGGAUGGGGGUAGACAUAUGGAUCAAUUUUUGCACCGUGGCCCAGUGGUUACUAGUUACGCCUCUGUGCCUGCACCUGUUAGCCGAGUACCAUGCCAUAUAGUUAUCUACAGCUAAUAUAUGCAAAAUAUUGUAUUAUAUCAUAUUAGCCUUGUGCAUUAACAUAGGCACUAUAAGACCAUAGCAGUAUUUACUUAUUUAUUUUAAAG